GUACUUUUCAGAGAUUAGAUCCGUUCGGAACGAAGAAAUUUUUGCACAAUCGGUUAUCGCACUUGGUUGAAAAGCCAGUGGUGCGAAGCUACCAUGCACUGGAUUAUGAUUGAACACCUCUAAGUCAGAAUUUGGGCUAGAUGCAAUACAUGUGCCCGCCGUCUGAUUGCCGACCCACAGUAGGGGCCUUUGGCCCCCUAGGGCACAUGCAUUGGCUAAGUCAUCAUGGAGGAAGAGCCGCGGUGACUGCCUUAAGUACAAUUUCCAUCGAUCGGCGGGUAGAAUCCUUUGCAGACAACAUAAAUACGCGACGGGGUAUUGUAAGUGGCAGAGUAGCCUUACUGCCACGAUCCACUAAGAUUCAGACCUUUGUCGCUCCGAUUC
rnacentral:ncRNA from 1 species